rfam:Capsicum annuum cultivar Zunla-1 unplaced genomic scaffold scaffold2707, whole genome shotgun sequence
AGGGAUGUGGUGCAUCUUGGUAACGUGUUUAUUUUGGGUACAAAAUGUCACGGGUUCAAAUCAUGUCAUCCUUA